CUUUUUUUCUUCUUCUUCUUCUUUUCAGGUCACUAAAUGUGGUGGGUUACCUGACAACAUCUUGGAUGUGUGGGAGUUUUUGGGCAAACCUAAGCAUUGCCAGUACACAUGGGACACACAGAUGAACUCCAAUCUUGGAAUAUCUGCCGCUUGUAAGCUUCGUUUUGAUCGGAUAUUUUUCAGAGCAGCAGCAGAAGAGGGCCACAUUAUUCCCCGAAGUUUGGACCUCCUUGGGUUGGAGAAACUGGACUGUGGUAGAUUUCCUAGUGAUCACUGGGGUCUUCUGUGCAACUUAGAUGUGAUAUUGUGAAAUGUUUUCACAUGUGAGUUUAAAUGUUUGAGUAGACUUCUGAACUUUUUGCAGGUGUCGUUUCUACCUAUCUGGAAAGGUAGGUUUCAUAUAGAGGAAUUAAUAUACUGGAAAAUUGUUUCAGAAAAAAAAAGAUUUUAUAGAUUAUGUUCUCAGAAUUCUGAAUUAAAUAUUAAUGUCUGAGGCUGGGGAUAUAGCUCAAUUGGUAGAGUGCUUGUCUUGCAUGCAUGAGGUCCUGGGUUCAAUCCCUAGCACCCCCCACACACACACACACACACAAAUAAUAAUAAUGUCUGUUUAAACAUGCCUGUGUUCAGAAUGUGAGGUCAUUUAGUGAAAGGGCAUAAAUUCUGUGGGAGCUCUGUCAGUGUUCAUAGCUUCCAGAUAGAUUCCCACCAGGGGCCACCUUAUCUCGGGACUAACCUUUAUAGUGUUUUUCAAUCAGGCACCAAAAUAGUAAUAAUUUUUAAAAGUCACUGAAAGAAAAAACAGAUUACUUAGUUCCUGGACCUGGAUCUCUUAUCAUAUUUCACAAGUUUAGAUAAUCUCAAAAGAAAAAGCCACACUCCUCUGUUGUUAGUAAGUGACAGCUAUCCUGCAUCCAACUUAAAUAGUACAUAAUUGGUAAGCUAUAAAUGAAGUCUUAUGAUUUAAAAUUUCUUAACUUUUUUCUGAUUAAUGGUGUAGGUAUGUUGCUAACAAAGGCAAAAUUAGUCUUGAUAAUGAUUAAAAUCAGAUUUAUAACAGCAUGGAUCCUUUUUCCUAAGAGAAAAAUAAAUACAUAAAGAGAAAUAACCUUUUAGUUUUGCUACUUGUAAGAUAGAGCUAUUUUACAAUAAAUGAAUUAAGAGUAUUUUUUUCUUUUUCUUUUUUCUUUUUUUUUUUUAAGUUUAAAAUGUGCUUUAAAGUUUGUCUGUGUGUGUAUGUAGGGGGGUGACCCCAAGAGAAAUGUACUGUAAAUAAAGAAUUUUGUGUUUAUAGUUUAGUGUGUUUCUGUGUUCCCUAUUUCUG
rnacentral:lncRNA from 1 species